AUCAGUUUAGGUCACAAAUAUUGGCCCUGCGAUGAGGUUGCGACUUGUCCAGGGUGUACACUGCCUUCCGCCCGAUUGUAGCUGAGAUAGGCACCAGCGCCCCCCGCGACCCCAAAGGGAAUAAGCGGAUGGCAUCUCCCGGAUGUACUUCGGCGUGGAGGGGCUCUUGGUAAAGAUGGAACAUUUGGCAAAAAUACGGGACAAUUCUGCAAAUUUCAUGGCUGGCUUACAGCGUGGUCACUCCGGGAUAACUUACGACCGACAGACAAUUCUGGAUGUGGAUAGAUCGGGCCGUUUUGGACUGAAUGACGGGUGCUUGCUAGACCGGCUAGCUAGCAUGGGAAUACUUUGCCGGCUACAUCCAGCGGCCUGUAAAGCAGCGGAGUAUAUGUGUUGUCUGUCUAUUUAUGAAUAAAUCAGACGAGGAGUGUUG